rnacentral:rRNA from 1 species
UGAGCUUGAUCCUGGCUCAGGACGAACGCUGGCGGUAUGCCUAAUACAUGCAAGUCGAACGCUGAAGCACUCUGCUUGCAGAGUGUGGAUGAGUGGCGAACGGGUGAGUAACACGUGGGGAACCUGCCCAUAAGAGGGGGAUAACAUCCGGAAACGGGUGCUAAUACCGCAUAGGUGAUCAUAGCGCAUGCUUAGAUCAUUAAAGAUGGCUUCGGCUAUCGCUUAUGGAUGGCCCCGCGGCGUAUUAGCUAGUUGGUGAGGUAAUGGCUCACCAAGGCUGUGAUACGUAGCCGACCUGAGAGGGUGAUCGGCCACACUGGAACUGAGACACGGUCCAGACUCCUACGGGAGGCAGCAGUAGGGAAUCUUCCACAAUGGGCGAAAGCCUGAUGGAGCAAUACCGCGUGAGUGAAGAAGGUCUUCGGAUCGUAAAGCUCUGUUGUUAGAGAAGAACAAGAGGUGUAGUAACUGGCACCUCCUUGACGGUAUCUAACCAA